AGCCCCGUGGUGUAGCGGCCAAGCAUUGCUGGCUCUGGACCAGCAGACGUAGGUUCGAAUCCUGCCGGGGCUA
rnacentral:tRNA from 1 species